AGCAAUUAUAUGUAUCUUUGUGUAAUUUGUAACAAAGAUGUACAGACAGGUGCAAACAGUAAAUCUUCUUUUACAAUCCAGAACUCAUUGCUGAGUAUGAGUUUUGGUAUACGUAAGAAGGAAUAUG